rnacentral:lncRNA from 1 species
CAUCGUUUGCUUGCAGUGUCACAUGUUUUCAAAUGCAUGUCUGUACACGAAGCAGCAGCGUAGCAUAUUCAUCAUACUUCCCAAGCUUCAUGACGCAGGCUGUACCAUACUGUCAUUUGCUAGCUGUACGAAGCUAGGUUUAAUUGUGCACUCUAUAAGUUUAUAUACGCAAAUAAAAAUAAAAUUAUUACUAUUUAUGAUGACAUGUCAAUAUUAUGAUUACAUGUUACUAUUUUGUCUUUGAAUAGUAGGACUUAUAAUUUGAACAAGUUCUCAAAAUGUAUUUUUAGUCAUUCUAUAAAAUGUUUGAAAUUUUGCAUCAUCUUCUGAUAAUACCCCG